rnacentral:miRNA from 1 species
UGCCUCAUUGACCGGAAGGAAUCCUUUCUGGUCGAUGAGGUUGUUAUACCUCAUUGAUUGGAAGGAUUUCCUUCAGAUUGAUGAGGUACAACAACCCCACUGACUGGAAGGAAUCCCUUCCGGUCAAUGAGGUA